UCGCGCCAGGGAGAAACUCUCCUUUAUGACAUAAGAAAAUCAGCUCAUAACUUUUUUUAAGUGUAAAUAUUUAAUAAGUAUCGUCUGUGUUACAGUUUGUGGAUAUUCUGUUAGUUUAUUUAAUGCUGUUUAAUCCAGCUUUUUCUCCAGACAGAGCAGCUCUGAAAUUUCAUUUACAUUUAAAAAUACAGGUUAAUAACGCAGAGCUGAUGUGUUAUAACCAAUGGAGGUCUAUCGAACCGUCAACAGAGCGCCACGGGGAGGGACUCCCGUUACACGUUUGUGGCGAGGCGAGACCGUCGCUCCCUGCAAGAUGCCCGAAGGAGGAGAAUUCAGCCUGACAACCCCAGAGACAUUUCGAGGAGCCAGGGAGAGAGUCGCC